GCUUUCCGAGCUCCGCGCGCCAUAUAGGGAAGGAUGGUCUUCAAGCUUGGUUCGAAGAAGAAGAAGCCUUCAGAUGCACCGGCGACGUCAUCAAACGGCAGUUCAGUAGCAGCGGCAGCGGUGGAGGAGGAGGUGAGUCAGGCGCUAGUGCUUCCGGGCCGGCAUGCAGACAGGGGCUUGCAGGCGGGCCUCGCCUAACUUGCGCCCUGUAUCUACGGUCGCAGAUUGCGUACCAUGCUGAUGCCGAUGAAAACGGUGGCAUGCUGUGCACCAACGACGAGUUGCUCAAGCAGCAACGCGAGUGAGUCGGUCGGUAACCUCUCCAAGUGCCCCGGCCCCAAGUUGGGCUCAGUAACUGCCGCAUAGGACGCGUAUAUGGAUUAAUACUGCUUUGCUGGUGGCUGUCUUCCCGCGGACGCACAGACGGGCGGUCGCCCAGACCUGUCC
rnacentral:lncRNA from 1 species